rnacentral:rRNA from 1 species
UACGUAGGGUGCGAGCGUUGUCCGGAAUUAUUGGGCGUAAAGAGCUCGUAGGCGGUCUGUCGCGUCGAUCGUGAAAACUUGGGGCUUAACCCUGAGCUUGCGGUCGAUACGGGCAUGACUGGAGUUCGGCAGGGGAGACUGGAAUUCCUGGUGUAGCGGUGAAAUUGCGCAGAUAUCAGGAGGAACACCGGUGGCGAAGGCGGUGGUCUGGGCCGGAACUGACGCUGAGGAGCGAAAGCGUGGGGAGCGAACAG